GUGGUUGUAGCUCAGUUGGUUAGAGCGUCGGAUUGUGGUUCCGAAGGUCGCCGGUUCGAGACCGGUCUCCCACC
rnacentral:tRNA from 1 species